UUCUGCAUAUCAAUUGGGACAACGCUUGCGACGAGAACGAGAAAGAGAAAGAUAGAAGGAAUGUACUAACCCAAGACAACCUUCUUUAACACCAAAUUGGCCUCCUCCUACAACUCCAUGUAGAAAUGUUGGUGUGGUCAUCCGUGAUGAGCACGACCUUAAUGUUAUCCGUGUUCGUGCGGCAAAAGAUAAAGAAAAGGUCAACCCAAUGUCUAAAGGAAAAGAAAAGA